AGUGCUGCAGCUGACAGUUGGCCUAACCCCUAGCAGAGAGAGCAGAGUCUUACUGACCUGGCACAGUGUAAAGAUGGUGACUGUCACAGUGGGCUAUUGUAAUAUAGCAGCUGUGGAUGAUUCGACCCAUGAACGUCAAAAGCCCAAUUUCAUAAAAAUUGUGGACUUUUUUGGAACAAGCAUCAACCCAAAUUCCAGCACCUGUCAGAUAAAGCAAGAUCCAAAAGUGACAUCACCCACAACACACAAGACACCACAUCAGGAGGGAAUGAACACAAAGUGAUUACCAGCAGUGUCCAUGAUAUCAUAGAAAUGUCAGAUGGAAGUGUGGAAAGGGACAGGAAGGAAACAGACACCCACCCACUUGUAAAUGUUCCAGCGACAAAAGCACCACGGAGGAGGAAAUGGCACAGUUUCAGGAGCAACUUAAAGAUUUAGGGAAAAAAAUGACAGUUCU